GAUGAAUGCUGGCGGCGUGCUUAACACAUGCAAGUCGAGCGGUAACAGGAGUAGUUUACUACUUGCUGACGAGCGGCGGACGGCUGAGUAACGCGUGGGAACAUGCCCCAAAGUGAGGAAUAACUGCCCGAAAGGGUAGCUAAUGCCGCAUAUGAUCUUCGGAUUAAAGGAUUUAUCCGCUUUGGGAGUGGCCUGCGUAUGAUUAGGUAGUUGGUGGGGUAAUGGCUCACCAAGCCGACGAUCAUUAGCUGGUCUGAGAGGAUGACCAGCCAGACUGGAACUGAGACACGGUCCAGACUCCUACGGGAGGCAGCAGUGAGGAAUAUUCCACAAUGGGCGAAAGCCUGAUGGAGCAACGCCGCGUGAAGGAUGAAGGCCCUCGGGUUGUAAACUUCUUUUAUAAGUGAAGAAUAUGACGGUAACUUAUGAAUAAGCACCGGCUAACUACGUGCCAGCCGCCGCCGUAAGA
rnacentral:rRNA from 1 species